rnacentral:rRNA from 1 species
GUGUCAGCAGCCGCGGUAAUACGGAGGGUGCGAGCGUUGUUCGGAAUCACUGGGCGUAAAGGGCGUGUAGGCGGUCCGCUAAGUCUGAUGUGAAAGCCCGGGGCUCACCCCCGGAAGGGCAUUGGAAACUGACGGACUCGAGUCCCGAAGAGGAGGGUGGAAUUCCUGGUGUAGCGGUGAAAUGCGUAGAUAUCAGGAGGAACACCGGUGGCGAAGGCGGCCCUCUGGACGGUGACUGACGCUGAGACGCGAAAGCGUGGGGAGCAAACAGGAUUAGAAACCCCUGUAGUCC